AGUUGGUUUCUUCCUUCCCCUUCCACCUCUGUAGAAGUGGAAGGAGAUGGAUCGGCUGUUCCUUGGGGUUAUGGAGGUGCCUAGGGAUCUUGAGCUGUUCAGAAACAUGAGUGUAAAACUCACACUGACCCACUUCAGGACCGAGGAGCCUUCCCAUGGAAAAUUGUGGGGAAGGGACCAAGUCAAUGAGGCUUCUGGCACAGCAUAGCGUAGUGGUUAGAGUGUUGGACUAGGACCGGGAAGAACCGAGUUCAAAUCCCUAUUCAACCAUGAAACUCACUGGGGGACUCUGAGCCAGGCCAGUCAUGUAUCUCUCAGCCUAACCUACCUCACAGGGUUGUUGUGAAGAUAAACAUGACCAUUUACACCACUCUGAGCUCUUCGGAGAAAAAGCAGGAUAUAAAUGUAAACAUAAAAUAAAAAUAAAUAAAUGGAAAGGUGGCUUAAGCACUACCAGUCCCCCCAACAGAAAACCAGAGGCUGUGAACUUGGGGCACAUUGAAGUGUCUAAUGGGAAUGGGGAAAAUGCAUGCUAUGCAAGCUGGUCCACAGGAAUCGUGCACAUUUUGGAGGGAGAAAGGGGGCCUUUCUUAAAGAGACAAGGACAAUAGACAAGCAUGUAGCUCUCUUCUUUGGUCUUCACACAUUACUCAAGGGCGGUAGUUUUAAUUCUUGUACAAGGGAGGUGUCUGAUUGACCUUGAGUCUUCUCCCAACCAUGUGUCACCUUAAGUGGCACAGAGGGGAAAUGCUUGACUAACAAGCAGAAGGUUGCCAGUUCAAAUCCCCACUGGUACUAUAUAUCGGGCAGCAGCGACAUAGGAUGAUGCUGAAAGGCAUCAUCUCAGACUGUGUGGGAGGAGGCACUGGUGAACCCCUCCUGUAUUCUACCAAAAGAAAACUACAGGGCUCUGUGGGAGCUGGGAGUCGAAAUCGACUUGACGGCACUUUAGCUUUACCUUCUCCCAACCGCUUGCAUUGUGCCAGUUUCUGAAAACUCCAAGCCAGGAAACUGGCUCAAUACUGAUAUGCUUAUCAAUCUAUACCAGUCUUCAGUCUUGUUAUGCAGCUUGGCCAUACCAUCAGACUGCUACUAGACUGGUGUGGUCUUUCCUGAUCCAUUCUUCUGUUGUUAUUAUUUUACAUUUAUAUCCUGAGGUGCCCAGGAUGCCAAAUCAAUGAUCCUGGUUGCAUUUCUGUGUCUGCAAGCCAGAUCAUGGAUACAAUGGGGGUGUUGUCAGGGGAUGGAAGCAAGGGGUUCAGGCUGUUCUGCCUGCAACAAGGAGGCAUGUAGUGCAGAAACACAAGCUCUCAAAGACAGGUUCUACUCCCUCCCCACUGGAGGCACAAGACUCAUCUGCAGGAAAGGGCUGUUUUGCUACAGGAGGAAGCAGGACAAGCAACGAGGAGAGCUCACACUGAACUCCUGGGGGAAGUGUUGGUAGCUCACUGCACUGAAUUCUGGGUUGGGAGCUGGAUAAGCUGAGCAAGUCCAGCCAGAAAGGAUAGUAGAAUUAAAGCUGAACUUGCCUUUAUGUACCUGGUCAGCAGCACCCAUCUCAGAAGCAAAAGAUGGAGAUCAAGCAGGCAAGUCUCAAAGUCACAGUGCACAUAACAGAAAGCUACUCACCCACAGCAGAUGGGGAAAGACUGACAUAUCAAGGGGUGUUUGUCAUCCUUCAGUUGCCUUCAGCUCUCAGACUCAGCCAUGUAUACCAGAGAUAAGGAGACUGCAUUUAGAGCCAGAGCCCUGUGGAACAGCACAGGUCUUGUGACCAAGAUAUUCCAGCUUCAAACUCACCAGAAAAGACUGGGAGAGAUCCCCAUGAACAGGCACACCUGAGAGAAUGCAGUGUCUCCGCCAAUCCGAGGGAGAGCUGUAUGAACCAAUCACCUGGCUCUCUAGUUACCUUUUGCAUUAGUUGUUGCAUCUAGCCACACACAACCCAUGUUUGUUUGCUUGAUUGCCUGGGUGACCAGCAGCCCUUAUACUCCCUAUAUCCUCCACCCCAGUUGACUGCUUCUUUCAUCAUGGCAGAAGUGAUCUAGCUGCAUGUGAACCCUGAGGAGCCUUCCUCUCCCGUUCCCUCACUGGAGCUCAUGGGGCCAGAGUUGGGAAGUUGUAGAAAGGAUCCUGCCUCUUCAGAGUCCCAUUCUGAAGCCAGCUAAGGUCCCAAGGAUGCAGUACAAGUCUUGAAUCAGUGCUAAAAGUCAUUGAUGGCCUGGAUGAGGAUGAACAACCUGAAUCUUAAGCCAGACAGGACACAAGACUGUUAAGUGACAAUAUGUUCAAUACAGGCAUAGGUAUUCAACCUGUCUGUGCUGGAGAGGGUCACUCUCGCUAAAGACUCAGGUUCACAGCUUGAAGUACAUCUGAGGUGAUGUCAGUAGACAGAAAUACAUUGGCUACCUGCGACCUUUCCUGAACACAAAUGAACUAACCAUGGUAAUUCAUGUCAUCUAAAUUUGACUAUUGUAGUUUUAUGUGGGACUGCCUUUGAAAAGUGUCCAGAAGCUACAACUGGUUCCAAAAGUGGCAUGUAGGUUGUUGACUGGACCACAGACAAUUUUGAUCACGUAGAAUAUAGUACAAUUUUAUUACAGUUUCAUUGGUUUCUAGAUCAAAUUUAAAGUGCUGACUUUGACGCUUAACAUUCUGCAUGGUCUGGGCCCAGAAUACCUUAAGAACCACCUGCAUGUGUUGAGACCUUCCUGGGAGGCUCUGCUUCACAUCCCACUCCCCACCUUCUGAAAUACCACAUGAGUGGGACUGGUCUACAACACCAUGGAACUCCCUCUUAGGGAAGUCUGCCUCACUUUUCCAUACUGACUUUUAGAUGACAGGCCAAGGCUGUCUUCUUCCAGAUGGUGUUUUUAUUGCCCUGAUUAACCUUUUCCUGUUUCUACUUCCGAUUCAUGUUUAUUUUUAUAGGGUGUAUUCAAAAUUUGGUGUGAUUAUAUAUUACUAGCUGCCUUGGAUAUAGCUCUAAUUGAAGGACAGGUUAUACAUAUUUUAAUAAAUAAAAGGCAGGUCUUAAACUGACCUCCCUUCCCUUAAUUUUUUUAUUUUUCUUAACGCCUUUUCUAUUAUUACAUGGUCUAAUAGCAUAAGCUCAAAAACACUAAAAUUAUGAAUUCUGUAUGUAAUAUCCAUGUUGAAGGAAGGCGACUUCAAACUCAAAGAAGAUGUAGAAAGCAAUUGGAAUCCUACUGACUACGUUUGGAAAAUAUGCCUGUUACACUUGGCAAAAUGGAGGUUUAGAGCUGAGAUCAGUGGUGGAAUGGUCGAUGGGGGAUGAUAGCUUAUUGGAGCUAAACACCAAACAGAUAGUUAAGAUGUGGAGACAACAGUUGGUAUAGGUGCUUCUGAAAGCUGUGCUCACAUGUUGUAAUGCUUUGAAAAGGGACAAAUAUGAAGUUUAAUUAGAAAGGUAGAUGAACAUGUGGAACAUCUCAGAGGUAGUUACCAUAGGCUAUGUUUGGACUAAGGAUGAAUAUUGUAAAAAUAUAAGUCAGACUGCCACUUUUGACUUGCUUUUCCUGGGAUUAAUUUAGAUGCCAUUGUAAAACCAUCAGGAAGCUCCCACCUUCCUUUCCCCACUUGUGUAUGUGUGCAGACCGUCUCUGUUUUCUUAGUUAGUGGUUGCCAUAGUUUGCCUCCAAAACGUGUUUGCUAUUAUGGCUGAAUCAAACAAUGGUUACUACAGACCAGGAAAUGGAAGUGGGUGUGCAUGAGGAGAGGAGGGGGUGCACACAAAUCGGCAGCACAGUCCUGGCCAUCAUUUGGCCUGAAACCAGGAAUGGUAGCUGGCGAUACACUUUUUACGUCCAGAUUUUUGUAGUAUUAAUAUCAACCAUAACAAGUUCAGAGAGCCAACCAGUCUGGAGACUGGAUGAUAAACCAUCAAGCUUGAUAGUGGUGUGAGAAGUAACAUCCUUUAAAUUGUUUCCCCCCCUGAGGUUUGUAGAUACCUUGAGGUAAUGUAGCAGCACAUAAUGGUUUGUGGAUUUCGAAAGGUGCAGGCCAUGUUGUGCUGCCUCAGAAAUUCAAGGAUUUCUUCCCCAUGAAAAGAAGCUUCUUCUUGGACAAUUAUAUAGGUUUUUUGUGUCAGCUGUGCCUUAGCAGCACAUAAAUAUUGGAGCUAUUAUUAGUAAAGCACCUCCAAUACUAAUUGUGCUGCUGAAGUAAGGCUGAUGUAUUCUUGCACAAGUCUCUUGGAGCAUAUGGUUAUAUAACUAACCAAUAGUGUGCUUAAUCAUAUGUAUCAUAUCAAUUAGUGUUGAUUAACUGUUAACUUCAAUAAACAUUUCUAGAACUGAA